rnacentral:rRNA from 1 species
UGGCGGACGGGUGAGUAACGCGUGGGUAACCUGCCUCAUACAGGGGGAUAACAGUUAGAAAUGGCUGCUAAUACCGCAUAAGACCACAGUACUGCAUGGUACAGUGGUAAAAACUCCGGUGGUAUGAGAUGGACCCGCGUCUGAUUAGGUAGUUGGUGAGGUAACGGCCCACCAAGCCGACGAUCAGUAGCCGACCUGAGAGGGCGACCGGCCACAUUGGGACUGAGACACGGCCCAAACUCCUACGGGAGGCAGCAUG